rnacentral:rRNA from 1 species
GUAGGGAAUAUUGGUCAAUGGACGAAAGUCUGAACCAGCCAUUCCGCGUGCAGGAAGAAGAUUCUAUGGAUUGUAAACUGCUUUUAGCAGAGAAGAAACGCCUUCAUUGAUGAGGGUUUGACGGUAUCUGCGGAAUAAGCACCGGCUAACUCCGUGCCAGCAGCCGCGGUAAUACGGGGGGUGCAAGCGUUAUCCGGAAUCACUGGGUUUAAAGGGUGCGAAGGCGGGAAAUUAAGUCAGUGGUGAAAGUCUGUUGCUUAACGAUAGAAUUGCCGUUGAUACUGAUUUUCUUGAAUUGGGUUGAGGUUAGCGGAAUGUGACAUGUAGCGGUGAAAUGCAUAGAUAUGUCACGGAACACCAAUUGCGAAGGCAGCUAGCUGGGCCUUGAUUGACGCUGAGGCACGAAAGCGUGGGUAGCGAACAGGAUUAGAUACCCCGGUAGUCC